GAACGCGAAAGUCCCGCAAGGGAUCAGUAGAGUGGCAAACGGGUGAGUAACACGUGGGUGACCUGCCUUCGAGCGGGGGAUAACAUCCCGAAAGGGAUGCUAAUACCGCAUGACAUCCUGCCUUUGAAUAGGUGGAGAUCAAAGCUGGGGAUCGCAAGACCUGGCACUCGAAGAGGGGCCCGCGCCCGAUUAGCUAGUUGGUGAGGUAACGGCUCACCAAGGCUUCGAUCGGUAGCCGGCCUGAGAGGGCGGACGGCCACACUGGGACUGAGACACGGCCCAGACUCCUACGGGAGGCAGCAGUGGGGAAUUGUUCGCAAUGGGCGCAAGCCUGACGACGCAACGCCGCGUGGAGGAUGAAGAUCUUCGGGUCGUAAACUCCUUUCGAUCGAGACGAACGGCUUCCGGGUGAAUAUUCCGGGAGCGUGACGGUACCGAGAGAAGAAGCCCCGGCUAACUCCGUG
rnacentral:rRNA from 1 species